UUUUACGAAGCCGAGCAGUUGCUGAAAUUGGAUUAGCGAAUCAGAGAAAAAAUGCUCGUAAUUUUUAAACAAAGUCGAAUAGAAUAUACGCGAGUAUGAACCUUUCUCGUUGCUUUUGUGCCUCCUGUCCACUUCUAUUACUUGCUUGCACAUAUAUUACACACAUCAUCCACACAUACUACGGUACACCUUUCAGGACAAAAGGUAAGCAGUCGCGGGUUGUUGAAACACGAAAAUGGCUACAACUUUGAAACAAGGUCAGAUGGAACGCAUGAACUUUUUGGGUCUCUUGAAAUGGGUCCUGCUAAUUAUCAUACACACUGUGCACAUGAAAAGUUUCCAGCAACGUUGAAAUAUUUUCGUGGCCCGAUGUAUAUCCAGUUCAUAAGACUUAUUUCAAGUUGGAUUAGUUGAAAGUUUAAAGAAAGUCGGAAUUUAGCGAAAAAAUCGUUCGACCCUCCUAUCUCAUAGAAGAACGGACUCGCGGAAACAAAAAAGAAGUCGGCGACUGUAAGAAGUUUAUCAAGGCAUCGUGAGUAUAUCUGUCGAUGAAAGGCUUGCGGAACGAAGAAAGAAGGAUGAAAAGACGAGAGCAUGCUCUUACUUUAAAACUAAUCCUAGUUGCCGACAGUUCCAGCGAAGAAAGAUUCGUCGUUCUUCGUCUGACGUAAGGACGGCUGAAACUUUUCCGAUUUAGCUACUAACCGCGACGGUAAGCCGACCGAUUAUUGUCUGACGGGCAUUAUUGCCGCUUGAUUAUGCCUGAAGAAAGGAAAGCGGCUGAAGGAUCCUUUAAAAACAUAUUAUCUCGAUAUUGUGACCCGCGAAUGUUGGAAACUUUGUUUCGUGACUUUUUUCUCAGGGACCAACUACGAUCGAGACUUGGAUUCAUUGCGAUGUACACGGACUGUGGGAAAAAUAAUAGAACUCUUUGAAAAUGACAAAGCAGAGGCAUUUUUCUCGUGGAAAACGUUUGCUCCUUUAAGAUGUAUUUGUCCUGUGACGAAACAACGACGGCUAACUAAUUGUUCAACCAAACAGUUCAUCGGCGAAUGCAGUUUAACAGCAGCCAGUCAAUUUACAAUUUUUCAGUGUGUUUUUUUCCUUCUUCUUGGUGGAAAAUAUGACGAGGAUGAUUUUUAUUUUACUUAAAAUUUCACGGAUGCUGCUGGGACACACAAAUCGCAAUUACUUGUCAAUAUGCCGGUAGGUUUGAAAAUUGUCACAAACUGCUACGAUGUGAAUCAAGAAACUCUCGAAAUUAACAGUGAAAAGUAUACCGUAAAAAGUAUAAUCGUAAAGACGAAAGUUUUUUUUUUAUUUAAUUCUUUACAUUCACAAUUUGUUCAGUUUGGAUAUUUGGUAGAAUUUUUUAAAAGACGAAAGUUUUUUUUUUAUUUAGUUGUUUACAUUCACAAUUUGUCCGAUUUGGACAUUUGGUAGAAUUUUUUUAGAAGACGAAAGUGAACGCAAAGUUCUGUUACUUUGAUAAACGAACGUGUAAAAAUGCGAAAUUGUAUAGAGCCUAAUAAAUAACUCAAAUAAGGUUGAAUUACAUUCGUAUAAUUUGGUUCAUUAACAACGAGCAACAUCUGCAGUCCCUGUAGAACUGUAUCUUAUACUCGUUUUAGCACACACAGGUUGCAGAUAUUUCGUCAGAAGGCGACGUAAUGCUCAACGCGAGAAGCAAGUUAGGUGUUUGAAAGUUACCAAAGAAAGGUCUGAAGUGCAGUUUGCAAGUAGAGGGAUUUAAUGUUGCGAACAUUCCGCGUUUACGUUUGCCGAAAUUUAAUUUAUUCGGUAGAGCAGAGCCUCGAUUAUCCGACGUGAAAACUCGGAUAAUACGGAAAGGUCUAUCAGUGUUCAUUGUUGAAGUAAAUAUUUCAAGAAAAACUCUGCAACUUUAUUUACGUAUAUCCGUGACCUGGAGACUGCUAUUACGAAGAAAUAUUCUAAAUAAGGAGCGGUGCAUAUUAUUGUAUACUUGAAUAUACAUUAUGUUUUAGGUUGCAAGGUCUAGGAACAAAGGAACUAAUAAACAGAUUUCUAUUUAUGUUCCCUGUACAACCCACAGACCUGACUGAAGAAAUAAAAUAGUCAAAUUCGAAGAUGGUGUUCCGCUGGGGGUAGCCAUUGACAUGUUAUUUAGUAAUUAACUUAGAAAAUUUACCACAUGUCCAGCUGGACAAAUUGUAAAGUACAAAUUAAACAGAAAACAAAUUUUGUCCUAGAAAACACCCCACUAACUUCACUGAAGAAUUAAAAUAGUCAAACUCGAAGAUGGUAACCCGCUGGGAGUAGCCAUCCACAAGCAACUGAGUAAAGAAAAUUUAUCAAAUGUCCAGCUGGACAAAUUGUAAAGUACAAAUUAAAUAGAAAAGAAGACUUUGUUCUAGAAAACACCUCACUAACUUCACUGAAGAAAUAAAAUAGUCAAACUCGAAGAUGGUAUCCCGCUGGGGGUAGUCAUUGACGUUAUUUAGCAAUUAACUUAGAAAAUUUACCAGAAGUCCAGCUGGACAAAUUGUAAAGUACAAAUUAAAUAACAAAAGAAGACUUUGUUCUAGAAAACACCCCACUAACUUCACUGAAGAAUUAAAAUAGUCAAACUCGAAGAUGGUAACCCGCUGGGAGUAGCCAUCCACAUGUUAUUUAGCAACUGAGUAAAGAAAAUUUAUCAAAUGUCCAGCUGGACAAAUUGUAAAGUACAAAUUAAACAGAAAAAAAAUUUUGUCCUAGAAAACACCCCACUAACUUCACUGAAAAAAUAAAAUAGUCAAACUCGAAGAUGGUAACCCGCUGGGAGUAGCCAUCCACAAGCAACUGAGUAAAGAAAAUUUAUCAAAUGUCCAGUUGGACAAAUUGUAAAGUACAAAUUAAAUAGAAAAGAAGACUUUGUUCUAGAAAACAUCCCACUAACUUCACUGAAGAAAUAAAAUAGUCAAACUCGAAGAUGGUAUCCCGCUGGGGGUAGUCAUUGACGUUAUUUAGCAAUUAACUUAGAAAAUUUACCAGAAGUCCAGCUGGACAAAUUGUAAAGUACAAAUUAAAUAACAAAAGAAGACUUUGUUCUAGAAAACACCCCACUAACUUCACUGAAGAAUUAAAAUAGUCAAACUCGAAGAUGGUAACCCGCUGGGAGUAGCCAUCCACAUGUUAUUUAGCAACUGAGUAAAGAAAAUUUAUCAAAUGUCCAGCUGGACAAAUUGUAAAGUACAAAUUAAAUAGAAAAGAAGACUUUGUUCUAGAAAACACCCCACUAACUUCACUGAAGAAAUAAAAUAGUCAAACUCGAAGAUGGUAUCUCGUUGGGAGUAGCCAUCCACAUGUUAUUUAGCAACUGAGUAAAGAAAAUUUAUCAAAUGUCCAGCUGGACAAAUUGUAAAGUACAAAUUAAACAGAAAACAAAUUUUGUCCUAGAAAACACCGCACUAACUUCAUUGAAGAAAUAAAAUAGUCAAAUUUGAAGAUGGUAUUAUGCUGGGGGUAGUCAUUGACAUGUUAUUUAAUAAUUAACUUAGAAAAUUUACCAAAUGUCCAGAUGGACAAAUUGUAAAGUACAAAUUAAAUAGAGAAAAAGCUUUUGUUCUAGAAAACACUCCACAGAUCCGACUGAAGAAAUAAAAUAGUCAAACUCGAAGAUGGUAUCCCGCUGGGGGUAGUCAUUGACGUUAUUUAGCAAUUAACUUAGAAAAUUUACCAGAAGUCCAAUUGGACAAAUUGUAAAGUACAAAUUAAAUAAUAAAAAAAAACUUUUGUUCAUUCUCUUCCGAUCCGCUGCGAAAACCUUUAGAAGUCGAAAUAAAACUUACUUAAACUCGAAUUAUUCGCCACCUGUCCAGGUACUUUAUUUUAUUUCUAUAACUCGAGUUUAGACUCUGCAAGUCGAAGUUUAUCGUUAUGAGUCGAACUUCUAUCGCUGCUUCUAGCUGCAACUCGAAGUAUGACUAUAGCUACACUAUAUGUGACAAUAUGCAAGAGAAGCCAAUUGUUCGAUAUUAUCUCGCUUCUUCCAACUGUUAGGAUCGUUCCAAGCAACAUAAGACAACGCAAACCAUGUCCCUACCUCUUCGCCCUUCGACCAUUCUAUCUAUUCAUGGAAGCUAAUCGUUUUUCGUCAGUCGAACGCAUAAUUGCCAUUAUCUGUCACGUCUUUAACUUUCGCAUUUAUGCACCUUGAAUAGAACGAGUUCUAAGAGGAAGCUUAAAAUAAUUACACUCUCUGAGAACGUGGCUGUAAUUACGCCUUCGUGCGAAGCUUCUGUACGGUGAAUUUUCGUUUGUCGAAGCUCUUUUACCCGGAAAUUUCGAUAAGCCAAAAUUCUUUUAGAAUUCAAAGACUUUACACUCUUCCCUCGGGGUUCGAGUUGCCGAGUUUCGACUGCAGUUCGAGGUCGAUCGAUGACAGUCGUCGGAGUUCGAUCGACGGUAGCGAUAAGUAGAACAUAGGGCGACUAUCAACUCGCUUUCGCAUAAAUUGUAGACUUCAGCCUCGACCUGGAAUUUUUUCGACUUUGAAGAGUUCGCUGGUGCGAUAAAUCGAAAAUCUUGAAGGGCUGAAAGGGAGCACGUGUUGGUAGAAAGUGGGUCCGGAGCGAAGCAUUUGCAUCGAAGUAUUGAGAAGCAGGCAGAGAGCGUGGUUGCCUUCACGCAGUGUCGUUAUAUUGUUCCAGGGACCCCUUGACAUCGGCCCCAAGUGUUUCGUGUGGUACGAACCUUUCACAGUUUUGCGCACCCACAGACGCAAGCCGCUCGUACGUGUGAAAGUGUUCACGGACGCGCAUCUUAGUCGGCCCAUUUCACCAACAAUACCCCUGAAAAUCGUACGAGUGUUAUGCUUCAAAUCUGAACGAAGCACACACACCUCUUUAUAUGCCCUGUGCAUUCCAGCUCCACUUUCCUAUAUUUGUAUGCCAAUCUUUGUUAUAUAGUGCACUAUACGGCGUGUUCGCGGAUUUACUAGCCAGCGUUUUUCCCAUUCUUUCUUUUUUUUUUAUUAUUUAAUUUGUAGUUUACAAUUUGUCCAGCUGGAUAUUUCGCAAAUUUUGUUAACUUAAUUGCUAAAUAACAUGUGGAUGGCUACCCCCAGCGGGUACCAUCUUCGAGUAAAUCUUUCCCGUUAGCGAUAAGUCUUUUAUUUUUUAUUCAUUCUACGAUAUUUACGAGGGAAUGUUCAAUUCCUGAAGGAGAGUUUUCACUUACUAUAUCACAAUUUAUCGCGUCUUGGUAACUUGAAUUUGUUACAGAGCGAUAAGUACGUGGAGAAAGAUGAAUGGAUCGAAGUGAACUACAUCUUCGCGAUAAUAUUUUCUAACUCUUCGAAAGUGCAAAAAUGCAUAUGCAUUCGAGACAGUUACACUAUUUUUUUUGCAUUUUUAAAUGGCAACCUCUUUUUCCAUACAUCGAAUCCUCCCAUCAAAAAAAAAAAAAAAAAAAAAAAAAAAUAUCAAGGUAACAUGAUCGAAAACUGAUUAAUACUGAUUAGUUUAGAAAAUAUUUUAACAUCAAUUUUGUAGAAUAUCAUAUAAAAAACAAAGAGUGACGUAUCUAUCGAACAUUUGCUGGAACAAUAACGUAAUUAAAAAGUCACGAAUUUAGGGCAGACAAGUUUGAAAGUUCCGGACUGUUUGCAGUCUCGUAGCAAGACAAAAGCAUUACAAUGAUAGCACAAUUCUCUGACAUUCUGAAUUUUUGAAGUUUGCUUCUAAUUUUUUCUACUAACUGUCUUUUCUCAAUAAAUUUACCAAUAACUCAAGCAACUACAAAUUUUGAUUUACGUCAUUGUCCCAGCAAACGAGCAACGUGGCAAAUUCCACAAAAUUAAACUUCAAGUAUCCUAUAUUUUAAAUUAAUUAUUUUUCCAUCAUGUUAUCAAAACUGUCUUCUUCUGUAUAUUUCAUAAUUUUUGUUGGCUCUCUCCCGAUCUAUCUUUCACAGUACAUGCACGUAUUAUACAUACGUAGGUGUAAUUAUGUUUGUAAAAAUAGAAUAAGAGUUUAAAAACCGUAUUGCACUGUGAAUGCACCAUUUAAGGCAAUGUCAACUUUUUAUUUGUACAACGUGUGCGAUAUAUGUAUGCAUAGUUUCAGACAGGAUGCAGCAGGAAAACUUGAUGAAAACCAUGUAUCCACCGCUAUUGUAUUCAUAAGCAUCGAAUUCUUUUGCGUCCUGCACGUCGCAUAAACAAUGUUUCAGUAUUCGAAUAUUCUACAUAUACGUGACGCAUUCCUGAACAUCAAACGAACGUCUGUCUUUAUAAAGCAGCAGGUUGCGCUUAACGAGCGACAUUCCUUCGGUUAAAAAUCAGAAAGGUACUUAUACAUUUCUUAAUUUAUAAACAUGACACGUUUCAUUUAAAUAUUUUAUACGUGGAUAUAAUUUUAUGAAAAGGAAUGCGCAAGAGGACAUGUUACAUGAGACAGAAUUAGUUCUUAAUAUCUUAAAUGUAUCGUGAUAAUGACUCGUUUAAUAUCGACACAUUUGCACCCUUCAAAUUUACAAAUUUCGUAGGAAGUUAUGUAAUUAAUAUAAAAAAAUCGAUAUAAUAUUAAUAUUCGGUAUAUAAUUGAACAGAUAAUGAAAAAAUUCCCGGUGCAAUUGAAACUGGUAAAGUAAAUACAGUAAGUAUGAAUUAGCAAACUGUCAAUUUUACAUUAUUCUUUAGUAUUAUGUGUAUUGAGAUUAAGAAAAGAAAGUUCUUGAGCAUUCCAUGAGUAUUGAGAAUUAUUCCUUUCAUCGAUAUAAUUGACAAUCCAUAUAGUAAUUUCUUACGUAAGAACAGUUUUUAUUUUUUUUUAUUAUUUAAUUUGUACUUUACAAUUUGUCCAGUUGGACAUUUGGUAAAUUUUUCUAACUUAAUUGCUAAAUAACAUGUGGAUGGCUACCCCCAGCGGGAUACCAUCUUCAAGUUUGACUAUUUUAUUUCUUCAGUCGGAUCUGUGGAGUGUUUUCUAGAACAAAAGCUUUUUCUCUAUUUAAUUUGUACUUUACAAUUUGUCCAGAUGAACAUUUGGUAAAUUUUUCUAACUUAAUUGCUAAAUAACAUGUGGAUGGUUACCCCCAGCGGGAUACCAUCUUCGAGUUUGAGUAUUUUAUUUCUUUAGUGAGGUCAGUGGGGUGUUUUCUUUCUAGUCUUCUUUCCAAGGACGUUUGUGUGUUUGCUUGUCCAUAUGUAUACACUACACUACGUAAGCAUCUCUAGGGAAAUUUUGGUCGAUUUGUAGUAACAGUAUAUAACCAAGCUGCACCAACAGAUGAUAAAUUAACAAUUGGAAACAGUAUUUACUAUCUUUCUAUGAAAUCAUCAGAAUACAAAUUUGCAUUGCGUAUUAAAGAACACAGCAAUGAUCGAUGUUAGUAUUUACUGUAUAUAAUAGCGUAUACGUUUGCUGUUUAACGUUAGGAGGCUGUUUGGCUGUUUAAAACGUUCUUCUCAAUCUGUUCUACAAAUUAAAAAUUGGAGAAUCUGAAGGUAAAGAGUUUGUCAAGUGACAAAAUAGUUCUAUGAGAUAUGGCAAUUACAGACGCCUGUUUUACUAUCAGACGAUCAUUCAGAGGCCGCAAUGAUCAACUCCAUAAAUCGAAAAGCAAAAGAAAAAAGAAGAUAAUGAUGUUACCAACGCUAUUUUUUAAAUUUAGCUUGAAACUUCCUGUUACCUAUGUUGUCUUGCUGUGAUAAAUAAACUCACGGAGGAGAGUCAUCUGUUUUCCGAAAAUUAAACAUUAAUGUGUGUACUUCUAUAACGAAAUUGAGAAAUUGACAAGAAUCUUUACCGCUUUAUCUUCAGAGCCACAAUUAUAAUAUACCAUUAUUAAAAUAAUUCCAAUUUUAUCUCACUAUAAUUUCACAAUCAAAAUAUGUCUUGUCAAAAAUGAGCUAGUGUCCCAACUUUUUUCUGUGCUAGUGUAUCAUUCGAAUUUUUCCAGAUAUUUGAAUGUAUCCGUUUAAACAGCACAUACUGCAUAUCCUAAUAUCGCCGAUUGAUAUAAUUUUACCCAUCUUCUUCUCUCUGCUGCUUUACCAUUUUCUUUUCCUACUACUUUGCAAUUAUAGCUACUUCGAUCACGGCAGCUAUUACUAGCCGGCACACAUUCAAACUCUUGGCGCGCACGUACGAGCAACGCCUCUUCAAUGUGUGUAUGAUGAAUCGUUUUGCCGGCCGGCGGUUCCCCGUGAUUACAUCGCGCAGAUUAUAAGCACCGUAGAAAAUUGAGUUUAUUCAAGUAGGAAUAUCGAUCUUCUAUCACGGGCAGGUGAACAUUCUACGUGCAACCGCUCUCUAGCGACCACGCAUGGUAUUCAAUCACGGUACAUCUUGGCAAAACAGCUUUAAAUACGGCUAUUGCUCUUAACUUGUAAACCAUAAUUGACGCGCUGCGCUAUACUCUUUUAUGUUUGGUUGCAACGAAGGAGCCAAGCCUCGUAAAGGUAUUUGCUGAAUGAAUAUUAAACGUCUAGUACGUUCCACGGAUCCUCACCGUAUUUAAUUUUGUUCCUUUUAUACAGCGUGCAAUAGUAAAGUAGAUGUUAAUUACCCAUUGAAAUCACCGAUGUGGAUUUUACCGACAUUCUUUUUACCGACGACGAUUUACUGACGCCAGACUCGAUCGGCUACAACUUUGACCGACCACGGUAUUAACAGAUAACAACAAUGACCGAUAGUUUAGCUAAUUGUUUAGUCGAAUAUAAUAAGAUUUAAAUUGCUUGUUAAAUGGCAACGAUAACAUACGAGUAAUUUUGUAAUUUCUUGGUGUAGAAAGAGCCGGUUGGGAAAACGUUGAUUCGCUUGCUGGGUCUUGCUUGUUUAUUACAUACAUCAGUUUCUUUAUCGAGAUCGGUCGAUAACUCCAGAUUUGCUUGUCUAUUAUGUUGCAUUUCUGUGAUCUUGUGAUUUUACCGUGUGAUCAAUGCUCGUUAGGAACUUUUUGGCGAAAAAUAAUACAGUUCUGAUUUCUCGAUCACCAGAUAUGACAUCAUACGAUUUCUUAUUAUUCUGAGGAUGGAAAAAGCUACGAAAGAACAACUGCUUCAAAGCGCUGAAGACAUAAAACUAAGAACGAACCAAGAGGCACACAAUAAAGUGAAUUGCCAAACUGUUUUGAGGAUUGGGAAAGAUAUUGGCAGAAAUGUAUCAUUGUUUAUGGGUAUUACUUUGAAGGGGACGAAAUAAACAUAUUACGUUAAAAACUAACUCACUAAAGAAAUAAAAUAGUCAAACUUGAAGAUGGUAUCCCGCUGGGGGUAGCCAUUCACAUGUUAUUUAGCAAUUAAGUAAGAAAAUUUAUCAAAUGUCCAGCUGGACAAAUUGUAAAGUACAAAUUAAACAGAAAAAAAAUUUUGUCCUAGAAAACACCCCACUAACUUCACUGAAGAAAUAAAAUAGUCAAACUCGAAGAUGGUAUUCCACUGGGGGUAGCCAUCCACAUGUUAUUUAGCAAUGAAGUUAGAAAAACUUACCAAAUGUCCAGCUGGACAAAUUGUAAAGCACAAAUUAAAUAGAAAAAAAAUUUUGUUCCAUAAAACACCCCACUAACUUCACUGAAGAAAUAAAAUAGUCAAAUUCGAAGAUGGUAUUCCACUGGGGGUAGCCAUCCACAUGUUAUUUAGCAAUUAAGUAAGAAAAAUGUACCAAAUGUCCAGCUGGACAAAUUGUAAAGCACAAAUUAAAUAGAAAAAAAAUUUUGUUCCAUAAAACACCCCACUAACUUCACUGAAGAAAUAAAAUAGUCAAACUCGAAGAUGGUAUUCCACUGGGGGUAGCCAUCCACAUGUUAUUUAGGAAUUAAGUUAGAAAAACUUAUCAAAUGUUCAGCUGGACAAAUUGUAAAGUACAAAUUAAAUAGAAAAAAAAUUUUGUUCCAUAAAACACCCCACUAACUUCACUGAAGAAAUAAAAUAGUCAAACUCGAAGAUGGUAUUCCACUGGGGGUAGCCAUCCACAUGUUAUUUAGCAAUGAAGUUAGAAAAACUUACCAAAUGUCCAGCUGGACAAAUGGUAAAGUACAAAUUAAAUAAUAAAAAAAAAAGAAAAAAACGUAGAAUGCCCGUAUUGUCGAUCGUAUUACAAGUGUUGCGACAUUCCUGUACAAUUUACCUGAAUUUAGAUGACUGGAACUUGCAGUUUCUAAACUGUAACCGCUAUUCAAUUGAUAAUUUUCAUGGCUAUAUUUCAGACUCGCAAACGGGCGAUACGAAAUUACAAAAUUACGAUGAUUUAUGUGGAGGCAGGUAUACUACGCACGGCUGGCGACGUUUUAAUCAUGAGAACGAAUCACGUGCACGUGAGAAAACGUUUUCAUUACAUACACGAACACUGGCUACCGGCCUUACGAUUCAGCACACGCUAUCGUAAUCGAGCGGCUGCAAAAAUAUAUCAGCGAAAAUGUAAAUGACUGCGUCGGCAGUACCGUGUCGCACGAUCAUUUAAUGUUACUGGUCAGUUAAUGAAACAAGGAGAAACUUGCAGUCCAGGUUGUUCGUGUAAGAUGAAUUUACCUUUGAUCGAGCAACGAUUCAAAUCAUUUCUCAUUCUUUUAUUAUGUUCGCUGAAAUUUCUUUCAGCUUUAUGAUUCUUCCUUUUCUUUUUUAACGUACGUUUAACGUCGCAUCGACUGUAGGCUCAUUAGCGACGACGCUAAGCUUAGACUGAUUAGUAGAUUGCAGACUUUUAUGCAAAUUUAUACUGUUGGUGAUACAGUUAAAAGAGUAGAAGAUCGAUAGAAAAGUAUUAAAGGAAGCGCUAAGAUCGUUGAACGAACCAAGAGGCACACAAUAAAGCGAAUUGCCAAACUGUUUUGAGGAUUCGAAAAGACAUUGGAAAAAGUGUAUAUCAUUGUUUAUACUUUGGAUAUUUUACAUGCUUUUUUAUAUCAUCCGUGUUUUGUGCAAUUUUGCACUUUCAAGAAGAACAAAAAGAAUAUUAGAAAUGCAUAAAAAGCUACAUCGUUUUGAUUUUUGCUAUUUUUAGUUCAUAUUUAUUUCUUUGAAGAAAUUUAACGCGUUUGAUGCGUAGAUUUGCGACUCUAAGGCUGCGUCAGGUUCCAUUUCGUGUCUCUGACUUCGUGUUUCUGUUAUCCACGUAUUAUCUGCCAGCCAUAUCAUCUGCUCAGUAACUCCAACAUUGAAAUACUUCAACGCUUCCAAUCGAAAACGCUAAGAUCCCUAAUUGAUGCACCUUGGUAUGUUACCAACGAAACAAUACACCGCGACCUCAAGAUAACCACAGCCAAAGAGGAAAUAGCAAAAUAUAGCGACAGAUAUAGCAAAAGAGUCAAUAAACACCGAACUCCCUAAUCACUGGAUUACUUGAUACGACGGACCAGAUCCGCAGGCUGAAGAGACACUACCCGCUAGACCUAAACGAUAGAUUCAACUAGUUAUUUAAAUCAAGUAACAUUUACUUAUUUACAAUACUUACUUACAAAUUAUACUUAUCUAUAAUAAGUAUUAACUUAUUAUAAAUAAUUAGCCAUGUUACUGCGCCACGCCAGAAAAAUUACUGAAAAUUCUCAACGCGAGAAUUGAUUGUAAUUUUAAUAAAUAUUAAAAAAAAAAAAAAUCAUCUGCUCCUUUUUGUCGCCUGAUUUAACUGCACCGGACUUUUCCUUACGGGAUUUUCUUAAACGUAAAGCGUAUGACGAUAAACCAAUCGCAAUUGAGUAGUUAGAAGAUGAUAUUCGAGAAACUUAGCGAAGAAAAGAAGAAGAUAGUAAAGGUAGCUUCCGAAAUGUAUGAAAAAGUAAUGAAAAGUGACUUUCUUGAGGUUGAGACUUUGUACAUAAUUUCCAAAUAUGAAUAGAUGACUCGUAUUAAGAAGGCGUUUCUUCUUUAUUGUAUAGAAUGCUUAGGUAAUAUUGUCAGAGAAAAAGUACGCAAGUAUAAUAUUUUGCAAAAUUGAAAUAUACAGGGUGGUUGGUAACUGGUGAUACAAGCGGAAAGGGGGAGAUUCUACGCGAAAAAAGAAGUCGAAAAUAUAGAAUAAAAAUUUUUCGUUCGAGGCUUUGUUUUCGAGAAAAUUGACUUUGAAUUUUCGGUCGGUACGCGUGCACUUUAUCGCGUCUCGUUAUAACGGAUCUCACUGUAGAUCGUUGUCUCGAUGGAAAAAUUUAAAAAAAGAAAAAAAGAACUUUUAUUCUGUAUAUCAUAGCAUAUUUCAAUCUGUUGUAACUUGCAGAGAAAAAUAUAUCAAAUUUGCGUGGCAGUCAACGCGUUAAAUAACAAAGUGAUUUAUGUGCCACUUUGUAUUUUACAUUAUAAGAACGAAUUAACAGAUUCAUAAUAAAACAGCAAGAGAAUAAAAACAGUGGCAAGCAUUCCAUUCGAUAUAAUUGAUCACUGCUUAUUCUCAUAAUUUCCUUCCAAUGUCCUUCACGAAUGAAUUAUAUUACACUUUAACGCGUAUCUUACCGUGUCAAAAAAAUUCAUACUAAUUUCUACUGUACCAUUUUAUAUGUCUGUCGCUUAGCGCAAGAAAUGCCAGCGUCGUAUUUUUACCAAAAUGAAUUAAACUCAGUCUCGAGUCUGUAAAAAAUUGUAUAGUCCCCAACGACAGUCUUAUAAUUAAUAAUAAAUAAUAGUAGUUUUAUAAAUAAUAAUGUGAAAGGACAGAUUCCAAUUCUACCCAAAAACGACUGACGUGACAUUUGUACAUAUCAAAGAGAAAUUUUUCAUAAAACAAAGUUUCCACGAAAAAUACCAGAGUAGUCAGCAUAAAUAUAAAACGCGAACAGCAUAAGCUUCGAUUCUCUCUUUCUGUAUGAGAAAAGAAAUUCGAAGCAGUAGAAACCUCGGUGUCAAAAAUUGUUCGAACAUGUAUUUUCUAACAUAUUAGGUUGUCCGAAAGUUUCUUUCGUUUUAUGAGGAAAUAAUAACAACAUUUUAUUGUUUUAUCGAAUUACGUACGAUCCAUUCUGUUCUGUCGAGAUAAACACCGCGACAUUUUCACAGACUUGGUUUCACGUUUGUACGAAGCUGCAUUGCCGUAAAAAACACGUUUGCGAAAGAAAGACACUUUCCGGACAACCUAAUACAUCAGCGAAUAAGGGCAGGCCGUGCAUUUCCAUCGGAAAUUCGAAAUCUAUGUCGGAUUUGUCGCAACGAAUGGUGGUUAACGGGUUAUUCACGCGCAAGACAAAGCGCAAUCACUAGAGCCGGAGGAAUCAAAAGGGAUAACCAAACUGGGAAGACAGAUGGAAAGCCAUACAGGAAGGAAGGAUGAGCGCGGCACGCGGUUGCUGGUACGUUUCGAAACUGUUCGCUAUUUGUAUAUAGUACACGUUUAUAUGUAUGUAUAGUACUCGUAGAUUCAGCUUGGCUGACCAACCGAAUGACCAACCAACUGACUAACCAAUGAAACCUUCGACCUUCCUGCCGCUCAACCGCCCCUCCAAGGAUGCUUGUUAACUUACAAUACCAGCAACUAUGACGUACCACUCUAUGCUGUAUUAUUGCUAGUGAUGGGCUGAAAUACGUCACAAGUAGAUUGGAACAUUGUCCGACUGGAUUUGUUGGCUUUCGUGAAUUUCUCUCGGUUUGGAAUGAUCAUGGAAGGUAGAGUAAAAUCAAGGCGUAUGUCAGUUCGGUGAACAUUCGUAUAGUUAGUGCUGAAUUUUGCAGCAGCCUGUCGAUGCUUGUACGAUGCA